UACGUAGGGUGCGAGCGUUAAUCGGAAUUACUGGGCGUAAAGCGUGCGCAGGCGGUUUUGUAAGCCAGAUGUGAAAGCCCCGGGCUUAACCUGGGAAUGGCAUUUGGGACUGCAAGGCUUGAGUGCGGCAGAGGAGACUGGAAUUCCUGGUGUAGCAGUGAAAUGCGUAGAUAUUAGGAAGAACACCAGUGGCGAAGGCGGCUCACUGGCCCGGUACUGACGCUCAUGUGCGAAAGCGUGGGGAGCAAACAGG
rnacentral:rRNA from 1 species